AAUAAACGCUGGCGGCGUGCCUAACACAUGCAAGUCGAGCGAGAAAGCUUCUUCGGAAGUUAGUAAAGCGGCGAACGGGUGAGUUACGCGUGAGAAUCUUCCUUUUAGUGAAGAAUACCCUUGAGAAAUCGAGGUUAAUACUGCAUACGUCCCUUCGGGGAGAAAGAUGGCCUCUUUGCUGUCGCUAAAAGAUGAGCUUGCGUGCUAUUAGCUAGUUGGUAGGGUAAAGGCCUACCAAGGCGAUGAUGGCUAGCCGGCCUGAGAGGGUGUACGGCCACACUGGAACUUAGACACGGUCCAGACUCCUACGGGUGGCUG
rnacentral:rRNA from 1 species